ACCCUCCAUUGCGCGCCAAUAGGCUGUCGGAGGCUGUCUUCGGAGGACACUUGCCAUUCCUUGACCGGUGCGUUUGGUCUCAUUGCAGUUUGACCAAAGUAAAAAUCGGUGUUUGGAGGUAACAAACAAAGUUAGCGUCGUUUUUACAAUGUCUGUGGUGGCGUCGGACGAACAUGACGAUUUCAUCAUUUUUCGUGUACACGACAAUCGGCAUUCAACACGUCAUUUCGACGCUGCGUCUUUUUUGAGCUGAGUCUAAAGUGACGGUCAGUGAACGCGGAACGACAGGACCACAGCAUCACGCCGAAGCCAUUAUUCACCUGUUCACCUGCAGUUGCGAUUGUGUGAAAUAACGCGUACACAUGGUAAUCGGCUCGUCAUAAUAGGAUAAGUAAGAUUCAAAGACAAUCGCUACCGUCGUGCAGAUCUUUCCAAUCAAUUUUGACGUACAACCCGAUUUAAAGGAAAAAAUAUACCGAUUCAGUGACCAUGAAUAACACGAAUAUUCAACUUGAAGAUUAUAUAGAAAUGCUAUGUAGUUUCAGAUAUUUUGAUCUGAAAUUUCUUUUGAGUACGUUUGAUCAAAAUAAAGUUGGCCGAAAAUCUGUAUUAUUAGAUCGAGCAAUUGGAUUGUUGAGGACUAAACCAGCUAAUAUUGACUACGAAUCAUUUACUGCAAAUAUACAUGAUAUAUAUCAUAUCUUAUUACAGGAUCAACCACAAAGAAUGGAUGGACCAAUACCUCAAGUAAAUGAUUUUAAUAAUUUUGUCGAUCUGUUCAUUAGUGACGACGAAGAAGCACCAACAAACAAAAAAUAAACAGGAAAAUGAAGCUCCAAGUACAGCUGCAACGAGCUGUUAUUGAAAUAGACAUUCCAUCCAUUCCUUCAAGUCCUACCCCUUUAACUGAAGCCUUCUAAUUUUUUUUUUAAUAAUAUAAGUAAUUUUGAUAGUAUAAGCUUUUAAAAUUAUGUAGUUCAAUCCAUGUAUUAACAAUAUAUUUUUUAGAAUGGCAUUCAAUAAACAUUAAAAUAUUUAUAUA